AAGAAAGUAAUAAUAGAACUGCUAAUUCCUAUUCCCUGAGAUUAAAUUCACAGCUUUCUUA
rnacentral:tRNA from 1 species